UACGAAGGGGGCUAGCGUUGCUCGGAAUCACUGGGCGUAAAGCGCACGUAGGCGGAUUGCUAAGUCAGGGGUGAAAUCCUGGAGCUCAACUCCAGAACUGCCUUCGAUACUGGCAAUCUCGAGUCCGGAAGAGGUAAGUGGAACUCCUAGUGUAGAGGUGGAAUUCGUAGAUAUUAGGAAGAACACCAGUGGCGAAGGCGGCUUACUGGUCCGGUACUGACGCUGAGGCGCGAAAGCCAGGGAGCAAACGGG
rnacentral:rRNA from 1 species